CCCCUCCCCUGUGUUUGUAGAUUAGAGGUCCAUGGUGGAUGGACCAGACCGGCUGCCAUUUUGGUCUUCUGUGGACCCUUGAUGGACUGGAUGUUAGAGUCACCUGCUCCGGAAGUUCUGCAGUUGUUUCAUGCCGUCGGCCAUUUUACAUCGACUAGAUGGAAUUUGCCGCCAUUUUGACAGUUCUUGUGGAUUUUUAGAACUAUAUCCGUUCUAGAAUUGAUCUGUUCUAGAAUUGAUCUGUUCUAGAAUGUAUAUUUCUAUGACCUGAGUAACCACUGCACUGAGAAGCAGACAGACAGUCCUCCUGAACUCUGGACUCUGACCUGUGGAAUAGUCAAUAGGUCAAUACAGGGUCAUUAUCUGUGGAACCCUGAGAGGUGAAAGGUCAAAGAGGCCUGACCCGUGACCCUGGGGAUCGUAGUGGAUUAUGGGAACUGCAGUCUCAGGACGAGGAAGACUCUUAAUGACAUCACUGAUAUGAUGACAUUGUGGAUGACAUUAUCACAGCAGGAGACCAAUCAUAGGACUGAGAACUCGUCUAACAUCCUGCUUGUCUCCAACUUCUUCUUCUUCAGCCCUUCCUUCUGAUUCUGUUACAUCAGAGAUAGACAGAGACACUAAAUAGAGGAGUAAGAGUUGAGAGACAGAGAGAGACAGAGAGAGACAGAGAGAGACAGAGAGACAGAGAGAGACAGAGAGAGAGAGAGAGAGAGACAAAAUAGAGGAGGAAGAGUUGAGAGAAAGAGAGACAGAGAGAGAGAUCAGUCCAGUCAUAUGUUAUGUGAUCAUCAUCGUGUUGCACAAGUGUUCCUCUUGGUGAACUUAAAGUGAGUUUGUCUCUCUCUCUCUCUCUACUCCCCCUCUCCCUCCUCCUAUCACAUGUUGACGAUAUCAGUACAUCAAAUUCAGGACAGAAACUCUUAAUGUGAGUUUGUCUCUCUCUCUCUACUCCCCUCCCCCUCUCCCUCCUCCUAUCACAUGUUGACGAUAUCAGUACAUCAAAUUCAGGACAGAAACUCUUAAUGUGAGUUUGUCUCUCUCUCUCUCUAUUCUGUCUCUGUAACCACUGCCCCCUCUUCCUCUCCUUUCCUACGCUGCCCCCCUCGCCCACACAAAGGAGUGAUUGUACCCCCCUCUCCUUCUCUGUUGUGGCUGGAAAGAUGAAUUAGUGACUCUGAGGGUAAAGAAACCCCCUACCCUUACACCAGAACAUCUAGUCUAACUAGUCUAACUAGUUACCAACACUACCUUAUAACCACUGUCCCUCUCUCUCCUCCCUCUCCAGACACUGUCCCUCUCUCUGCCUCCUCUCCAGACACUGUCCCUCUCUGCCUCCUCUCCUCCCUCUCCAGACACUGUCCCUCUCUCUGCCUCCUCUCCUCCCUCUCCAGACACUGUCCCUCUCUCUGCCUCCUCUCCUCCCUCUCCAGACACUGUCCCUCUCUCUGCCUCCUCUCCUCCCUCUCCAGACACUGUCCCUCUCUCUGCCUCCUCUCCAGACACUGUCCCUCUCUGCCUCCACU
ensembl:lncRNA